rnacentral:misc_RNA from 1 species
UCAAACUUGGUCAUUUAGAGGAAGUAAAAGUCGUAACAAGGUCUCCGUUGGUGAACCAGCGGAGGGAUCAUUACCGAGUUUCUACAAACUCCCUAACCCACUGUGAACCAUACCACUGUUGCUUCGGCGGGACCGCCCCGGGGGCCGCCCCUCGCGAGCCCCGGAACCAGGCGCCCGCCGAAGGCCAAACAAACUCUGUUUACAAGAAACGUGCACUUCUGAGUGGCGCAAGCAUGAGAAUGCUGUAAAAACUUUCAACAAUGGAUCUCUUGGCUCUGGCAUCGAUGAAGAACGCAGC